GGCUACAUGGGUGCUAAAUCUAACCCAAGGUGCAUGCCGAGGGGCGGUUGGCCUCGUAAAAAGCCGCAAAAAAUAGUCGCAAACGACGAAAACUACGCUUUAGCAGCUUAAUAACCUGCUUAGAGCCCUCUCUCCCUAGCCUCCGCUCUUAGGACGGGGAUCAAGAGAGGUCAAACCCAAAAGAGAUCGCGUGGAAGCCCUGCCUGGGGUUGAAGCGUUAAAACUUAAUCAGGCUAGUUUGUUAGUGGCGUGUCCGUCCGCAGCUGGCAAGCGAAUGUAAAGACUGACUAAGCAUGUAGUACCGAGGAUGUAGGAAUUUCGGACGCGGGUUCAACUCCCGCCAGCUCCACCA
rnacentral:tmRNA from 1 species